rnacentral:lncRNA from 1 species
UAAACUUUGCGUUGGUAGCGAUAACUUCUGAUAUCCAGGGUUAGUCGCUUGAUUUAUGGCAGAUUUCGCUGCGCUUAGAUAACAUAUUUGCAGUUUACAGACUUAUUGUAAUCGUAUGAUAGUAUUAGCCUCUGAUUUCCAGGGUUAAUAGCUUAUCUUAAACUUCCCCUUUUCAUAUAUGGUCUGCCACCUCAAACAUAUUCGGCGAUCAUCAUAUAACAUUUUCAAAGACACAUAUGCAUUUUUAUCAGUUAAUUUUAGUUCAAAGAUCUACAUGUAUCAUAAAUUGCAUUUCAUAUAAUAGUACAUAUAUCAUAUCACAAAUUGCAUUUCAUAUAAUAGUGCAUAUAUCAUAUCACAAAUUGUAUUUCAUAUAAUAGUACACAUCAUAUCUGUUAAUAAAUGCUGUGGCCAUUUCCUGC